rnacentral:rRNA from 1 species
AACUGCGGCCAUAGCAGGGGGGUACACCCGGACCCAUCCCGAACCCGGAAGUUAAGUCCUCUCACGUAGUAUGCUCUACUGAGGUGCGCGAGCCCUCGGGAACCAUACCUCGCUGCAGUUU